rnacentral:rRNA from 1 species
UCAGGACGAACGCUGGCGGCGUGCUUAACACAUGCAAGUCGAGCGGAAAGGCCCUUCGGGGUACUCGAGCGGCGAACGGGUGAGUAACACGUGAGCAACCUGCCCUAGGCUUUGGGAUAACCCCGGGAAACCGGGGCUAAUACCGAAUAUGACUUCUGGUCGCAUGACCGGUGGUGGAAAGUUUUUCGGCCUGGGAUGGGCUCGCGGCCUAUCAGCUUGUUGGUGGGGUGAUGGCCUACCAAGGCGACGACGGGUAGCCGGCCUGAGAGGGCGACCGGCCACACUGGGACUGAGACACGGCCCAGACUCCUACGGGAGGCAGCAGUGGGGAAUAUUGCACAAUGGGCGGAAGCCUGAUGCAGCGACGCCGCGUGAGGGAUGACGGCCUUCGGGUUGUAAACCUCUUUCAGCAGGGACGAAGCGUAAGUGACGGUACCUGCAGAAGAAGCGCCGGCCAACUACGUGCCAGCAGCCGCGGUAAGACGUAGGGCGCGAGCGUUGUCCGGAUUUAUUGGGCGUAAAGAGCUCGUAGGCGGCUUGUCGCGUCGACUGUGAAAACCCGCAGCUCAACUGCGGGCCUGCAGUCGAUACGGGCAGGCUAGAGUUCGGUAGGGGAGACUGGAAUUCCUGGUGUAGCGGUGAAAUGCGCAGAUAUCAGGAGGAACACCGGUGGCGAAGGCGGGUCUCUGGGCCGAUACUGAC